AUGACACCAUCCCUCCGUCCAAACAAGUUCUCUCUCGUUUGUCUUUCGCACAGUGGCCUGGAAAAUAUCUGCCGUUCAUUCAGACUGCACGACUCUCCAUCGCAGGCCCGCUUUAGCAGAGACGCUGAGGGAACUAUCAGGGGAACAUAUGGCCGUCAUUCAAAAUCAGCGCUCCAAAACAACAACAGGAUUUUGUUACUAUGGAAAAAGCAGUUCUUAAACACUGGCUUGUAUUGACAUGAAUCCAAAUCCCAGGCAACAUCCGGUUCGUUUGCUUAUGGAGGUGCACCAGUUUAAGACAUUUUAGAAAAGACUGAGAUUUACUAAAACAAAACAAAGACAACAUGUGUCAUGUCUGUCGAUUGUGAGGUUGGGAGAGGUAAAUGUGCUGAACGCUUUCUGCAAGCCCUCGGAUCUCUCCGUGUGAAGGAGAGUUUGCACAGAAGGAUACCCUCUGGCAUCAACGUUGAGCCUGGAGCUCAGCCAAGACUUAGCAUGGAACAAUCCCUCUCCCCUACCUCGCUAUGAGUCAUAGUGUACGCUUAAAGUACUUCACUGCAAAACUUUAGCAUGCAUUUUCAGUGACGUACUCAGCCUAAUUUACUGGAAACAGAAGAGUCAAAUUACUCUUUCUCCUCCUUCAGCUGCCUUUUCUUUUAGGAACAGAGACGUGCAUUCAGAAAAACAAUGCUGUUUGUGUUCUGUUACAGAAAUGUGCAUAAUCAUCAUGUAUGACCACUCAUGGAAAGUAAAUGGAAACUUGCUUUGAUUAUCCACAGUUUACAGUAAACUAAAUAUACACUUUAGUUGUGCAUGGCAAGCUUCACUGUUGCCACUGUUCACAGUUAGGGGUUUUCCAAUCCCCUAAUCAUCAGUAUUAAACUUGUUCUUUUAUUUUUGCCUUACAAAAGAUAUAUCAAAUUCUGCAGCUUAUUGGGGAGAAGCAUGUAAUUACUUUUCUAAUGUACAAAUGGUUAAAUUUACAGUGGAAACGUCUCAGGUAUUACAGAUGUCAUCUGUAUAUUUUAUAAUUUAUUUUAUAAUGUCAUCUGUAUAUUUUAUAACUUCACUUUUCACUUCACUCACUUUAAUUUGUAGCACUUAAGUUCCAUUAAGUGACGUAUCAUCUACUUAAAAUCUACCGUGAUAAUACAGGUGGUAAAAUAAUAUGCCACAUCCAUGGUAAGUUACCUUUUCAUAGAACGUGAUCAAUACUCAUAUUAUGUAAAUGGUGUGCAGGUCAUGCACAUGAAUAGAAAAAAGUCAGAAGAGCAUCGCAACACUAAAAUAAUGCAGUAAAAGAAAAUACAACACAAAACUAAAUAUAUUUAUAUAGUCAGUAAUGUUCAUUAGGGUGUUUUGUGUUCUAUUUUUUUUACUUAGUUUAUUGCAUUAUUUUAGUGUUGUGAUAUGGCUAUUAUAUUAUAUAGAAGUAUAAAAGUUAUACAGCCAUCUAAAUCGUGCUCUGCAUUUAAUUAUAUGGGUUGUCAUGCUUGUAUUUUUUUUUUUUUUUUUUCAGUUUUUCACCUGAAAUAAUUUUUAUUUGCAAAAACUAUACGUUUUUAUAUUAAAAUUACAUAUAAUGCAAUGUUUACAGGUUCUCACACACAUUAUAUUUUCUGAAUACUUUUUUUUUUGUUUUGUUUUUUUGCUUGUUGCAUGCAACUUGUAAUAUUUUUUAUAUAUAAUUUAUAAUAAAAUCAACCAUAUUUUAGCUUGAGACUGUGUGUUCUUGUCAUCAGCAUCAGGACUUCAUGUGCCUUCAGUUCCAGUCUCAUCAGUCGCAUGGUAUUUAAGAUUCAGCUAAUGGAUAAAAGAUAUGGAUAUCUAUC
ensembl:lncRNA